GACGAACGCUGGCGGCGUGCUUAACACAUGCAAGUCGAACGGAAAGGCCCUGCUUUUGUGGGGUGCUCGAGUGGCGAACGGGUGAGUAACACGUGAGUAACCUGCCCUUGACUUUGGGAUAACUUCAGGAAACUGGGGCUAAUACCGGAUAGGAGCUCCUGCUGCAUGGUGGGGGUUGGAAAGUUUCGGCGGUUGGGGAUGGACUCGCGGCUUAUCAGCUUGUUGGGGGGGUAGUGGCUUACCAAGGCUUUGACGGGUAGCCGGCCUGAGAGGGUGACCGGCCACAUUGGGACUGAGAUACGGCCCAGACGCCUACGGGAGGCAGCAGUGGGGAAUAUUGCACAAUGGGCGGAAGCCUGAUGCAGCAACGCCGCGUGCGGGAUGACGGCCUUCGGGUUGUAAACCGCUUUCGCCUGUGACGAAGCGUGAGUGACGGUAAUGGGUAAAGAAGCACCGGCUAACUACGUG
rnacentral:rRNA from 1 species